rnacentral:rRNA from 1 species
GACGUAGGGGGCAAGCGUUAUUCGGAAUCAUUGGGCGUAAAGCGCUCGUAGGCGGAUCGGACAGUCGGUGAAGAAAGACCCGGGCUACAACUCGGGGAACGGGCACCGAUACUAUCGAUCUUGAGGCAAUCAGAGGGUGAUGGAAUUCCCGGUGUAGCGGUGAAAUGCGUAGAUAAUCGGGAGGAACACCAGUGGCGAAGGGCGAAUCACCUGGGGUUGUUCGUGACGCUGAGGAGC